UACGUAGGUGGCAAGCGUUGUCCGGAUUUACUGGGCGUAAAGAGCGCGCAGGCGGUCGUCCAAGUCGCGUGUGAAAGCCCCCGGCUCAACUGGGGAGGGUCACGCGAUACUGGUCGACUCGAAGGCAGGAGAGGGUAGUGGAAUUCCCGGUGUAGUGGUGAAAUGCGUAGAUAAUCGGGAGGAACACCAGUGGCGAAGGCGACUACCUGGCCUGUUCUUGACGCUGAGGCGCGAAAGCUAGGGGAGCAAACGGG
rnacentral:rRNA from 1 species